UUGAUCCUGGCUCAGAAUCAACGCUGGCGGCGUGCCUAACACAUGCAAGUCGAACGCGAAAGCCCCGCAAGGGGUUAGUAGAGUGGCAAACGGGUGAGUUACACGUGGGUGACCUGCCUUCGAGUGGGGGAUAACGUCCCGAAAGGGACUCUAAUACCGCAUCACAUGCUGCCUUUGAAGAGGCGGACAUCAAAGCUGGUGAUCGCAAGACCAAGCGCUUGAAGAGGGGCCCGCGCCUGAUUAGCUAGUUGGUGGGGUAAUGGCUCACCAAGGCUACGAUCAGUAUCCGGCCUGAGAGGUCGGACGGACACACUGGGACUGAGACACGGCCCAGACUCCUACGGGAGGCUGCAGUGGGGAAUUGUUCGCAAUGGGCGCAAGCCUGACGACGCAACGCCGUGUGGAGGAUGAAGACCUUCGGGUCGUAAACUCCUUUCGAUCGAGACGAAUGGCCUUCGGGUCAACAGCCCGGGGGAGUGACGGUACCGAGAGAAGAAGCUCCGGCUAACUCCGUGCCAGCAGCCGCGGUAAUAAGGU
rnacentral:rRNA from 1 species